UCAACUCCGCAAGGGGUGGCGCACGGCUCAGUAACACGUAGUCAACCUACCCUGGGGACGGGGAUAACCUCGGGAAACUGAGGCUAAACCCCGAUGGGCCAUGGCUCCUGGAAUGGGCUAUGGCUGAAAUCUACAUGGCCCCAGGAUGGGACUGCGGCCGAUCAGGUUGUUGGUGGGGUAAUGGCCCACCAAGCCUAUAACCGGUGCGGGCUCUGAGAGGAGGAGCCCGGAGAUGGGCACUGAGACAAGGGCCCAGGUCCUAUGGGGCGCAGCAGGCGCGAAACCUCCGCAAUGGGCGAAAGCCCGACGGGGUUAGUCCGAGUGGUCCCUGCUGAAGGGGCCUUUUGCCAGCUGUAAAAAGGCUGGCGAAUAAGGGGUGGGCAAGUUUGGUGUCAGCCGCCGCGGUAAUACCAGCACCCCGAGUGGUCGGGACGAUUAUUGGGCCUAAAGCAUCCGUAGCCGGCUUAGCAAGUCCUCCGUUAAAUCCAACGGCUUAACCGUUGGGCUGCGGAGGAUACUGCUAAGCUAGGGGGCGGGAGAGGCGAGGGGUAUUCCCAGGGUAGGGGUAAAAUCCGUUGAUCCUGGGAGGACCACCAGUGGCGAAGGCGCCUCGCUAGAACGCG
rnacentral:rRNA from 1 species